UGGGGAAUCUUCCGCAAUGGACGAAAGUCUGACGGAGCAACGCCGCGUGAGUGAUGACGGCCUUCGGGUUGUAAAGCUCUGUUAAUCGGGACGAAAGGCCUUCUUGCGAAUAGUGAGAAGGAUUGACGGUACCGGAAUAGAAAGCCACGGCUAACUACGUGCCAGCAGCCGCGGUAAUACGUAGGUGGCAAGCGUUGUCCGGAAUUAUUGGGCGUAAAGCGCGCGCAGGCGGAUAGGUCAGUCUGUCUUAAAAGUUCGGGGCUUAACCCCGUGAUGGGAUGGAAACUGCCAAUCUAGAGUAUCGGAGAGGAAAGUGGAAUUCCUAGUGUAGCGGUGGAAUGCGUAGAUAUUAGGAAGAACACCAGUGGCGAAGGCGACUUUCUGGACGAAAACUGACGCUGAGGCGCGAAAGCCAGGGGAGCGAACGGGAUUAGAUACCCCGGUAGUCCUGGCCGUAAACGAUGGGUACUAGGUGUAGGAGGUAUCGACCCCUUCUGUGCCGGAGUUAACGCAAUAAGUACCCCGCCUGGGGAGUACGACCGCAAGGUUG
rnacentral:rRNA from 1 species